CGAUACAGGGUGACAGCCCCGUACACAAAAAUGCACAUGCUGUGAGCUCGAUGAGUAGGGCGGGACACGUGGUAUCCUGUCUGAAUAUGGGGGGACCAUCCUCCAAGGCUAAAUACUCCUGACUGACCGAUAGUGAACCAGUACCGUGAGGGAAAGGCGAAAAGAACCCCGGCGAGGGGAGUGAAAAAGAACCUGAAACCGUGUACGUACAAGCAGUGGGAGCACAGAGCAAUCUGUGUGACUGCGUACCUUUUGUAUAAUGGGUCAGCGACUUAUAUUCUGUAGCAAGGUUAACCGAAUAGGGGAGCCGAAGGGAAACCGAGUCUUAACUGGGCGUUAAGUUGCAGGGUAUAGACCCGAAACCCGGUGAUCUAGCCAUGGGCAGGUUGAAGGUUGGGUAACACUAACUGGAGGACCGAACCGACUAAUGUUGAAAAAUUAGCGGAUGACUUGUGGCUGGGGGUGAAAGGCCAAUCAAACCGGGAGAUAGCUGGUUCUCCCCGAAAGCUAUUUAGGUAGCGCCUCGUGAAUUCAUCUCCGGGGGUAGAGCACUGUUUCGGCAAGGGGGUCAUCCCGACUUACCAACCCGAUGCAAACUGCGAAUACCGGAGAAUGUUAUCACGGGAGACACACGGCGGGUGCUAACGUCCGUCGUGAAGAGGGAAACAACCCAGACCGCCAGCUAAGGUCCCAAAGUCAUGGUUAAGUGGGAAACGAUGUGGGAAGGCCCAGACAGCCAGGAUGUUGGCUUAGAAGCAGCCAUCAUUUAAAGAAAGCGUAAUAGCUCACUGGUCGAGUCGGCCUGCGCGGAAGAUGUAACGGGGCUAAACCAUGCACCGAAGCUGCGGCAGCGACGCUGAUGCGUUGUUGGGUAGGGGAGCGUUCUGUAAGCCUGCGAAGGUGUGCUGUGAGGCAUGCUGGAGGUAUCAGAAGUGCGAAUGCUGACAUAAGUAACGAUAAAGCGGGUGAAAAGCCCGCUCGCCGGAAGACCAAGGGUUCCUGUCCAACGUUAAUCGGGGCAGGGUGAGUCGACCCCUAAGGCGAGGCCGAAAGGCGUAGUCGAUGGGAAACAGGUUAAUAUUCCUGUACUUGGUGUUACUGCGAAGGGGGGACGGAGAAGGCUAUGUUGGCCGGGCGACGGUUGUCCCGGUUUAAGCGUGUAGGCUGGUUUUCCAGGCAAAUCCGGAAAAUCAAGGCUGAGGCGUGAUGACGAGGCACUACGGUGCUGAAGCAACAAAUGCCCUGCUUCCAGGAAAAGCCUCUAAGCAUCAGGUAACAUCAAAUCGUACCCCAAACCGACACAGGUGGUCAGGUAGAGAAUACCAAGGCGCUUGAGAGAACUCGGGUGAAGGAACUAGGCAAAAUGGUGCCGUAACUUCGGGAGAAGGCACGCUGAUAUGUAGGUGAAGUCCCUCGCGGAUGGAGCUGAAAUCAGUCGAAGAUACCAGCUGGCUGCAACUGUUUAUUAAAAACACAGCACUGUGCAAACACGAAAGUGGACGUAUACGGUGUGACGCCUGCCCGGUGCCGGAAGGUUAAUUGAUGGGGUUAGCGCAAGCGAAGCUCUUGAUCGAAGCCCCGGUAAACGGCGGCCGUAACUAUAACGGUCCUAAGGUAGCGAAAUUCCUUGUCGGGUAAGUUCCGACCUGCACGAAUGGCGUAAUGAUGGCCAGGCUGUCUCCACCCGAGACUCAGUGAAAUUGAACUCGCUGUGAAGAUGCAGUGUACCCGCG
rnacentral:rRNA from 1 species